CCUGGACAUAAACAGCCAUCAGGCAGGCCUGUCAACAUUGGCUUUACGCCCUGAAGUCACAGCCCUUGUUUCCUGGCAAAGCUUUCUCUCGCUCCUCAGUCACUCGGCUUCCCCGAUACCCCCCGACCAGAGCCAUUCAUGGGUUGUGAGAAGCCCUAACUGUGCGCACACCCACCAGUUAACAAAUAACUGUGACCACUGCCACGGCAGAGCCGAACAGAGCCAGGAAGUGAGUGAAUGGGCGUGCAGUAAUGGCGAUCCCUGGUGUGGAUUCUGUGUCUCUAGACAUUAAAGAAAUAACAUAGCAAGAAACAAAUGAGAAACAUAAGUAGUCCCUCAGAUAAUAAGUAUGAGCAGGAAAUGGUGGAGUAGGAGAAAGAUGUGGCAUUCAGAUGUGGGGUCCUUGUCUUCCUCGUCUUCCUGUCUUCUCUGGUCAGAGAGACCGUAUUAAUAAUAGUCGAUAAAAGUGAAAAGAGCACCGCAGAAGCAGAGGAAUCUUCGACAUUUAUGUCUGUUCUGUGGAUUGCUCUGUGACCUUUGGAAAGGAAAAAUCUUCGCCCUUUUACUUGGGUGAGAUGUUGCCUAAGUCCCUCCCUUACUCAGCAGUGCCUGUGUUAGAACGUUAAUCUGAGACUCCAUUAGUUGACGUAUAUAUAUAUUUUUUAAUACCUUUUUAACCACAUGCUGGGGGGUAUUCUAAAAGACUCUGCUGGGUAGAAAUAAUGGUAGUGAUGAGAGUGAACGUGCAUCGAUUUCUACACCACUUGACCAAAGCCCCAGGAGCUCCGUCUAUAUGCACUAUAGUCGUACAUGUAUACGGUUGUUCUGCUUAAUUGUAACGUAACUCUGUUGAGUGUAGACUGUGCUGUUGUCCCCGUUUUACAGAGCUGAGAGAGGUUCGGUAAUUUGCCCCAGAUGGCCCCGAGGUGAAAUGGCAGGUGGCAUGCCAGCCUAGCACUGCCUGAUGCCCAAAUGCCCUGUGCCCUGAAAUGCUGCGUUUUAGAACAAGGUGAAGACAAGUAGUGAGCUUUUGUUUCCUGUGCUGGCACUCGUGCGCCUCCAUCUGUUGGAAUUUGUUGUUAGCUGGUGUCCCCAAACAGGAGCUUGUUAUACUCACUCUUGUUCAUACUCGUGUCUGCUGUCCGUCAAAGCCAGAGGCGGGAGAAUCUGUGCCUCCCUUGCUAGUCCCUGUUGGGACUAUCCCUUUGGAAUAGAAAGAGUCAGGAUGACUGGUUAGCCGUGGCUGCUGAA